rnacentral:lncRNA from 1 species
UUGAAUUGAUAUAUAUAUUAUGAAUAUAUUGAUUAUUUGAAUUGAAAUGAAUAUAUAUGUGCAAAUAUGAUUGUACAGUCCAAUUUUUAGCCCAAUUACAAUAAUAGACAAACCCAAUUUUCAGCCCAAUGGACCCACAGGCCCAAAAUCUAAAACGGCCCAUUGGGGCCCAAAAACUAAACAGCACGGGGAACCUUAGGGUUCCCUGCCCUUGCCUCGCGCCACUGCUCCCAUGUGCCUCCAACGUACACCACGCCCGAAGUCUGCCACCGCCAGCCGGCCUUUCACUAAAACGGCAAGUUGACCUUGCCAUGUACCUGCAAAAAGAGACAAAAAUGGAAGCAAAAAACGUGAAGGAACAGUGGCAGAAAUGAAGCCAAAAUAGUAGAUAAAAGUACCUUGUAAAUCGGCUUUAUAAGCCCAAAGAUCGAACAAUGCCGGGGGAAUUCGAUUGAAAAAAAAACAUUGUGGAAUCAAUAAAAAAUCGAAAAAAUCUUCUAAGAGAAGGUUUUUUUUCUUUUCUCUUUUUCAUUACGUUUUCUUGGUUUGUUUCUGUCUGUUUAUUUUUUUUCUUCUUCUUAUUUUAUCAUACACACACACACACACACACACACACACACACACACACACACACACACAGACACACACACACAUAUAUUUAAGAAGAUAUAAGUUAAAAAAGAAAAGAGACGGAGUACUUACCCCGGCGCCGUCGAGGCUCUUCUUCAUUCCGUCCAAAUCGGGGCUGAAGAAGAGUGGCUUCUAGUUUUUGAAGCGACAGAGAGGAAAAGAGGGAGGCUAGGGUUUACAGAAUUGUUGAAAAAUGGCUCAAUGCCUUAAUUUUUAGCUUUUAUAAUAUUUUAAAUGGGGCCG